rnacentral:rRNA from 6 species
UUGCCAGCGAUUAGGUCGGGAACUCAAAGGAGACUGCCAGUGAUAAACUGGAGGAAGGUGGGGAUGACGUCAAGUCAUCAUGGCCCUUACGACCAGGGCUACACACGUGCUACAAUGGCGCAUACAAAGAGAAGCGACCUCGCGAGAGCAAGCGGACCUCAUAAAGUGCGUCGUAGUCCGGAUUGGAGUCUGCAACUCGACUCCAUGAAGUCGGAAUCGCUAGUAAUCGUGGAUCAGAAUGCCACGGUGAAUACGUUCCCGGGCCUUGUACACACCGCCCGUCACACCAUGGGAGUGGGUUGCAAAAGAAGUAGGUAGCUUAACCUUCGGGAGGGCGCUUACCACUUUGUGAUUCAUGACUGGGGUGAAGUCGUAACAAGGUAACCGUAGGGGAACCUGCGGUUGGA